ACAGCCUUGCGACAGUAUUUCAGAGGCUGUCGUCUUCUUUUCGCUUCGACAGUUUGAUGACCGAAUCAAGCACGACAGCUCUCAGUAAAACUGUUAUGCGACUUGCAACGUUGCCGUCUUGUACCGCACACGACAGUUUGCGCAUACGUCUACAACUAUAGUUGAUGUGCGAUGACAGCCUCAGUUGGUUUUGCGUAACAUUUCUAUCGUUCUUGGUGGUAGAACCGACACAUCGAUGCAAUCAAAGAACAUUUUUUUUCUGUGAAAGUCGUGCUCUGUACAUUAGUUAAGCCCAGUACGGUGCGGGAUACUGAACGAUUUAGAAUGAAUGCUGCAUGCAAGGUUUUCGUUUUUUUUUUCAUUCAUUUCCCAUACGGGAUCAAAACCAGUGGCUUUAUUUGAUUUGAUUUCAAACAGUCAGCCUGUAGACCAACAGCAUAUAAAGUGUUAUUCGGAAUGUUAACCGAACGUGCGGAAAUUGAAGAUUUCAAUAAAGUGAACAAAUAAUCUUCGUUUUCUAGGAUCUCGUCAUCCUGCAGGGCUAUCAAUUUCUCUCGACACUUUCUAUGACGAAGUUUUCGGACAGCGGCUCCAAGAACGUAAACUAAAGCAUUAAUUUCCUUAGUUUGAACCACCUGAGAAACGGAUACAUCAAGGGCUUCAAAUUCAUAAUCUGAAUACUGGUCUUGUUCUGCCAUUGGAAAACUCUCCAAAUCUUCUUCGUUGAGAAGAGGUACUGCCUGAUCAUUUUGGCAAUUUUUGCCAUUAAAAUUUUGUUCAACUGCUGCUAUCAUACUAUACUUGAAUGCGCUGGCAAAUUGAAACGCAUUGGGAGCAUCAUUAAAACCGCAACGACGCCUAAUUUCGGAAAAAAAAUUUUCCAGGCAGUCUUGACAGAGCGGAUUCGUACAAAGAUAGCAACAUUUGUAGUCCUCCUUCAACGUUGUCCACAGCCAUCGCAAAGCGUAGAUAUUACCAAUUAGGCCACUUAAAUAGUGUGGGUGUUUUUGGGUAGCCUUCAGCCUGUUUGAUUUCUCCUUAGCCUAUAAGAAGCAUAAUGAAUAUUUUAAUAACGUUUAAGCGUUUAGUAUUCAGGAAUGGUAGCGCGAAUACGCAUAAAUGACGGAAGUACAUAACCAAAGUGAACGUACGUCAUUUAUUUGAAUUCUACAGAUUUAUAUAUCAAAACUACCUCGUUCAAAUCGAAGCAGGAAUUCGGAAUAUAGUACAUGCAUUUCAAGAUUUUCAUAGUCUUUGUAAGAAAGUUCAUGUGAUUGGUUCCGUCAGUAAUUGCAGUUCGGUACGGCUGGUUCAACGAAAAUAAUAAUACUCAUGAAUUAUAAAGUUAUAAAAUUUUAAAUCAAUCUCUUUUGAUAACUAAUACCUUGCCAAUGGAAUCUGUAUAUUUAUCCUUUGAAUUAAAUAUGUCGAACAAUUUAUCAUGGAUUUCGACAAACUCUGCUGUGUCCAGUGCUUCAUUUGGUAGUUCACCACUUUGUACAUAAUAUCUCAUACCAAUCGCACAGGUCUCACUCGCACAGGUCUCACUCGCGUUGCUAAUGCAACGUUCAUUGAUGAGAACGGUGGUAAUUCAAUGUUUUUCAGUUUCAGUUUUGGAACUAGUCUUAAAGCAGGAUCUUGCUGUACAUCCACAUCAAAUAACUGUUUAAUGUGAGUUUUGGAAGCAAUUUUAUUAUCAAAAACAGCGUUGUACUUAAAAAUCGCAUUCCGGGUAUUUUUUAUCAGAUGAGGCGUGUCGUACAUAACUGCAAUUUUCGAGCCAUUUAAUUCCAAAAAUGGACUUGUAACAGUGGCACCAGCUUGGCGUACCAUUCUCAUGUUGGUACUACACUGGUCCAUGGUUAAAACAAGAGGAAUUAACCCACAAUUAUGCACAGCACGGAUACUCCUCUUAACCAUUUUGAGUUGUUUUUCAUUACCUAGACUAUUGUGAGCAAGGAGGUAUCCUAUGGGCUGAAAUUUUGAGCAAAUAUUUGAAAAUUACAUGUGAGACGGCAUUUGAGUGGUAUAUAAGCUUUAUACAGUAAUCAGUGUACUCAGAAACAAUUGGGAAUAUUUGGAAAGAACAGUAAUCCCAUAAUCGGGGAUAUUGUUAUAGAGAACUAUCUCAGUACAAGACAACUCAUUGGUUGUUUUGGUUAUUGCCUAUGAUAAUCAUCAAUUACAGGGUGACUGUGGAUAGACCAAACUACAGACUCUUUACACAGACUUGCGGAGACAAAAACCAUAAAACCAAGAACCAUGCAUAUAUUGGCAUCACGCAAGAUCCCAUAAGCUGUAGGGCUUCCUGCCAUAUUUCACCUCACAAACUCAUCAUGCUUGUUUGGCUGCAUUUUUGACCCUUCGCUAGUCUGUGUGUAGUCUGUAGACCAAACUGGCUCUGAGUGCAAAUAAUGAUACAGCACCUGUUUAAACCGAGAAUAUAUCCCAGACACCAUAAAUGUUAUGGCCUCGGUCGCAAGUUUCAUCACAUCAUUUUUUUCGAUUCUGCGUUUAAGGCCGUCAUCUGGAAAUCCAUGGAACUUGUCAGCUUUCGCGCUAUAGGAAAGUUCUGAUUUAAUGGCCAUUCCAUCGAAUGAAAUCACAACAGUUCUGUCCUUCUUUGCCUUUAUUCGCUUUAUUUUUUUGUUCAUUAUUGCAAUGAUAGCGACGUUUAGGCCCGGCUCGAUGCGGAUGUGUUUAUUAUGGUUAUACACUGAAUUGUUGUGCGGCAAUACAAGGUGACCAGAGUUCUUGAUAUGACGAUAGGUUCGUGGACCACUUAAAUAAGUCGAAGCAGCGAACCUCAUAGUAGGUGCCUGAUAUCUACGCCCUUUUGGCUUUCGCAAAGCAUUGCGCAGUGAAUCGAAUAUCACAGGAUUGUUUCGAGCUCGUUCACCUAACAAUUCAUUCGAGGUUUUAUGUUUUUUCAAAAUCUUAUGCUCAACUUGUAAUUUGGCAAGCUGCAGUUUCCUUUGUCGUGCAGAUUUCAACCGACGUUUACUGGUUUGUGUUGAAACAAAUAAGUGUCGUUUAAGUUUGUUCACCUCAUUUUGCAAUCGUUGCGUCUUUGCUUGUUCCAUUUUGAAUUGGGUAUAGAAAUCAGGCACAGAGCAAAUGUUAUUCGUGGCGGAUUCAACCGCAUUGUGUUUGCCAUCAUUUGAACAAAAAUCACAGGUAAAAAGUUGUUGCUGCGACGGAUCAUAGGUGGAAAGUAUCGUCAUAAGAGACCCCGGACUGUUGAUAUGUACGUUCACAUCAUCCGGCUGCAUUUUACUAAUAGGGUUUUCGAUUGAUGGCACUGACACCGCGCCAGUGUUUUGCACUGGAACGGUGCCAAUGGAACACUCCAAUGCAAAUCGAGUGCAGACUUGAAUGUGUGCGUGUAGUUGCCCGAGCUGUCAUUUAACAGCUGAUGUUUUGCACUUUUUCAACAUUUAACUUUCCCGUGCUGUUUAGUGGAAUGUAUAUUCACUUUUUGCUAUUUACAAGCGGAAAAAAGUUUUUCUCCCCACAAACAGACCGAUCAUCCGGUCGCUUCUGCAAUAUGGAAACUAAACAGAAUAAGGAGGAUACUGCUCGUGGAUGCUUAGCCACAGUGUGGCUCCCUGGCAAUAAACUGAUAUCCUAAUUUUGUCAAUGAAUAUUCAAUACCUUUCCGGAGAUGGUUCAGGAUUGAUAACAUGAUGAGGGAGUUCAGCAAUUCACACCUAUCCAUAUCUUUACUUGACGCAAUGUUGAAUUUUUGUGCCUACCUGCGGACCACAAUGGGCUAUCGUUGCGCACAAUUCGUAAAUUAAUUUCCUGUCGAAGCUCGCAGAAACUGUUACGAUGCAAACCGACAAAUAAUCGAAUCGAUUGCUAUAAUGAGCUGCGGAAGGCUGAUGACGAAUUUGUUUCUUAAAGCCUAACUAAAUUACCAUGUUCUCGAGCUGGUGUUGCUUCGCCAACAACGACAAACAAGAAAUUAAAGUGCUGGACGGCUGGAGAAAUUGGUAGUGAAUUUUGAUUUUGAAACCAGUUUAAAAGAAAUUACGGUCUGUAUCAGCUAAUUUGGCAUUUUAUUGAAUACAGGCAACCGGAAGUGACGUAACUCCACUAAAGUAUUAGAGCUAAACUGCCUGUAAUUGGAAGUCAGUCCCAUAUAGUUAGAGAUCCCUUUAGAACAUGGGACUGACUUGCGAUUAUGGGCAGUAAAUGCUGUACUCGAAUUUGUUCCGACUGGGACAUUUUCUGCUCUUAUUUUAGUUAUUUGUUCAAUGUUUUAUGAGAAACAUUAAUCGGCUGGAAUAAAGUUCAAAACACUAGAA